rnacentral:rRNA from 1 species
UAAUACGAGGGGGGCAAGCGUUGUCCGGAAUCAUUGGGCGUAAAGGGUUCGUAGGCGGACUGAUAAGUUGGAAUUGAAAGACCACGGCUUAACCGAGGGAACGGUUUCAAUACUGUCAGUCUUGAGUGAGGUAGAGGUAAGCGGAAUUCCUGGUGUAGCGGUGAAAUGCGUAGAUAUCAGGAGGAACAUCAAAGGCGAAGGCAGCUUACUGGGCCUAUACUGACGCUGAGGAACGAAAGCGUGGGGAGCAAACAGGAUUAGAGACCCUGGUAGUCCACGCCGUAAACGAUGAGUACUUGGUGAUGGGGGAUUCGACCCUUUCAUUGCCGGAGCUAACGCAUUAAGUACUCCGCCUGGGGACUACGACCGCAAGGUUG